AGUUGCUGUAGAUUUUGUCUCCCCAGAAAAUGUACAGGAGUGCCUUCGCUUAACCAAGGAAUUCAGACAGCUUCCAAAGAACCACAGGGCUAGAGAAGAUAAACUUGAGAUCAAGAAAAUGAUAAUCUAUGCAAUUGAAGAAGCAAUUAAAGAUUUAAAAGUGCUAAUAUAAUGACAUCUUCAAGCUACUCCAAGUGGCAGCUAUAGAACACACAGGCCG
rnacentral:misc_RNA from 1 species